GACGAACGCUGGCGGCGUGCCUAACACAUGCAAGUCGAGCGGGGGUCAACUGGUGGCAACACCAGGGAAGCCCGAGCGGCGAACGGGUGAGUAACACGUGAGGAACCUGCCCCGGAGACCGGGAUAACAGCUGGAAACGGCUGCUAAUACCGGAUGCCGUCAUCGGACCGCAUGAUCUGAUGACGAAAGGAUUCCGCUCCGGGAGGGCCUCGCGGCCUAUCAGCUCGUUGGUGGGGUAACGGCCUUCCAAGGCUCCGACGGGUAGCUGGUCUGAGAGGACGAUCAGCCAGACUGGGACUGAGACACGGCCCAGACUCCUACGGGAGGCAGCAGUGGGGAAUCUUGCGCAAUGGGCGAAAGCCUGACGCAGCAACGCCGCGUGCGGGAUGAAGGCCUUCGGGUUGUAAACCGCUUUCAGCAGGGACGAAAUUGACGGUACCUGCAGAAGAAGCCCCGGCCAACUACGUGCCAGCCGCCGCCGUAAGAC
rnacentral:rRNA from 1 species